rnacentral:rRNA from 1 species
CCGCGAAUCGCCCUUCGGGGUGCACAGGCGCGAAAACUCUACAAUGCAGGCAACUGCGAUAGGGGGACAUCGAGUGGCAUCCACCUUGGGUGCCUGUCCAACCGUCUAAAAAACGGUUGUUAGCAAGGGCCGGGUAAGACCGGUGCCAGCCGCCGCGGUAAUACCGGCGGCUCGAGUGGUGGCCGAUAUUAUUGAGUCUAAAGGGUCCGUAGCCGGCUUUGCAAGUCCCCUGGGAAAUCCAGCGGCUUAACCGUUGGGCUUUCAUGGGAUACUACAUUGCUUGGGACUGGGAGAGGUAGGAGGUACUCGGGGGUAGGGGUGAAAUCCUGUAAUCCUCCGGGGACCACCGGUGGCGAAGGCGUCCUACCAGAACAGGUCCGACGGUGAGGGACGAAAGCUAGGGGCACGAACCGGAUUAGAUACCCGGGUAGUCCUAGCCGUAAACGAUGCCCGCUAGGUGUCACGACGGUCGUGAAUCGUCGUGGUGCCGUAGGGAAGCCGCGAAGCGGGCCACUUGGGAAGUACGGCCGCAAGGCUGAAACUUAAAGGAAUUGGCGGGGGAGCAC